rnacentral:rRNA from 1 species
GACGAACGCUGGCGGCGUGCUUAACACAUGCAAGUCGAGCGGUAAGGCCCUUUCGGGGUACGACGAGCGGCGAACGGGUGAGUAACACGUGGGUGACCUGCCCUCAGCUCUGGGAUAAGCCUGGGAAACCGGGUCUAAUACUGGAUAUGACUCCAUGACGCAUGUUGUGGGGUGGAAAGCCUUGUGCGGCUGAGGAUGGGCCCGCGGCCUAUCAGCUUGUUGGUGGGGUGAUGGCCUACCAAGGCGACGACGGGUAGCCGGCCUGAGAGGGCGACCGGCCACACUGGGACUGAGACACGGCCCAGACUCCUACGGGAGGCAGCAGUGGGGAAUCUUGCGCAAUGGGCGAAAGCCUGACGCAGCGACGCCGCGUGAGGGAUGACGGCCUGG